AGUGAACGCUGGCGGUAGGCCUAACACAUGCAAGUCGAACGGCAGCACAGUAAGAGCUUGCUCUUACGGGUGGCGAGUGGCGGACGGGUGAGGAAUACAUCGGAAUCUACUUUUUCGUGGGGGAUAACGUAGGGAAACUUACGCUAAUACCGCAUACGACCUACGGGUGAAAGCAGGGGAUCUUCGGACCUUGCGCGAUUGAAUGAGCCGAUGUCGGAUUAGCUAGUUGGCGGGGUAAAGGCCCACUAAGGCGACGAUCCGUAGCUGGUCUGAGAGGAUGAUCAGCCACACUGGAGCUGAGACACGGUCCAGACUCCUACGGGAGGCAGCAGUGGGGAAUAUUGGACAAUGGGCGCAAGCCUGAUCCAGCCAUACCGCGUGGGUGAAGAAGGCCUUCGGGUUGUAAAGCCCUUUUGUUGGGAAAGAAAAGCAGCAGGUUAAUACCCCGCUGUUCUGACGGUACCCAAAGAAUAAGCACCGGCUAACUUCGUG
rnacentral:rRNA from 1 species